rnacentral:rRNA from 1 species
AAACUUGAGAGUUUGAUCAUGGCUCAGAACGUACGCUGGCGGCACGCCUAACACAUGCAAGUCGAACGAAGUAGCAAUACUUAGUGGCAGACGGGUGAGUAACAUGUAGGUAUCUGCCCUUUGGCCUGGAAUAACACGAGGAAACUUGUGCUAAUACCGGAUAAGUCUUUACGGAGAAAGCUUUAUGCACCAUUGGAUGAGCCUGCACUUGAUUAGUUUGUUGGUGGGGUAAUGGCCUACCAAGACUGUGAUCAAUAGCUGAUUUGAGAGGAUGAUCAGCCACAUUGGGACUGAGACACGGCCCAAACUCCUACGGGAGGCAGCAGUGGGGAAUCUUGCACAAUGGAGGAAACUCUGAUGCAGCGAUGCCGCGUGAGUGAAGAAGGCCUUUGGGUUGUAAAGCUCUUUCGUCGGGGAAGAAAAUGACUGUACCCGAAUAAGAAGGUCCGGCUAACUUCGUGCCAGCAGCCGCGGUAAUACGAAGGGACCUAGCGUAGUUCGGAAUUACUGGGCUUAAAGAGUUCGUAGGUGGUUGAAAAAGUUAGUGGUGAAAUCCCAGAGCUUAACUCUGGAACUGCCAUUAAAACUUUUCAGCUAGAGUAUGAUAGAGGAAAGCAGAAUUUCUAGUGUAGAGGUGAAAUUCGUAGAUAUUAGAAAGAAUACCAAUUGCGAAGGCAGCUUUCUGGAUCAUUACUGACACUGAGGAACGAAAGCAUGGGUAGCGAAGAGGAUUAGAUACCCUCGUAGUCCAUGCCGUAAACGAUGUGUGUUAGACGUUGGAAAUUUAUUUUCAGUGUCGCAGCGAAAGCGAUAAACACACCGCCUGGGGAGUACGACCGCAAGGUUAAAACUCAAAUGAAUUGACGGGGACCCGCACAAGUAGUGGAGCAUGUGGUUUAAUUCGAAGAUACGCGCAGAACCUUACCAACACUUGACAUGUUCGUCGCGACUCUAAGAGAUUAGAGUUUUCGGUUCGGCCGGACGAAACACAGGUGCUGCAUGGCUGUCGUCAGCUCGUGUCGUGAGAUGUUGGGUUAAGUCCCGCAACGAGCGCAACCCUCACUUUUAGUUGCCAUCAUUAAGUUGGGCACUCUGAAAGAACUGCCAGUGAUAAGCUGGAGGAAGGUGGGGAUGACGUCAAGUCCUCAUGGCCCUUACGUGUUGGGCUACACACGUGCUACAAUGGUAUCUACAACAGGAAGCAAGACUGCGAAGUUAAGCAAAUCCCUAAAAGAUACCUCAGUUCGGAUUGCACUCUGCAACUCGAGUGCAUGAAGCUGGAAUUACUAGUAAUCGUGGAUCAGCGUGCCACGGUGAAUGCGUUCCCGGGUCUUGUACACACCGCCCGUCACACCAUGGGAGUUGGUUCUACCUUAAGGCAAGGCUUUAAACCCUUGACCACGGUAUAGUCAGCGACUGGGGUGAAGUCGUAACAAGGUAGCCGUAGGGGAACCUGCGGCUGGAUUACCUCCUUU